CCCUAAGUCCAAACCGACUAGAGCUGUCAAAACGGGCCCAACCCGUCGGGUUGGGCCCGUUUAACCCGUUUUUACGACGGGUUGGGU